UUCACCAAAUUCGUAUCAAGCAUCUGAUAAGAGGGGAAAAGAAGCUCCCUGUAAGUUGCACCACUUAAAAACUAUUUUCAGAGGCUAAACAAUGUGUAUUUUGAUUUGAGCAAAAGAACCCUCAUGAAAAAAGUGGAAGGAGGCAAGCAGAAACCAAAUACGCGCUCCCUUGGUGAUGAAGGAUUAACCACCACAGCUGUCUCUUCCCAGAAUGAUGCAGUGCAGUUCUCCUCGACACGACAGCAUCACUUAAUCUUAAUGUCCACUCUUCCAGUGCAGCCACGCAGGACAAAGCCAAUCAACAUCAGAUGCCACCAAGAUGGACCUACUGCUUGGCCCUGGAGUCUUUCACCCUCACACACCUAUUAAUCAACAUCAUCCAGCCCAAUCCCAGAGUUUGGUUCUCGGAAACUACACUUAAAACUAAGCAUGGGUGUAUGUUUUCGGUCAGAGGUGCUUUUUUUAAGGGACUAUGCAUAUGAACUGAACUUACCAAACGUUUAAUCCAAGAAAUAAUUACUUUUCUCCCAAGAAGUUUAUCUGUAUAGGCUUUGGUCUGCUAUUUUUUACUUUUUUUAAAAAAAAAUAUACCCAGUAAUUUUGUGCAUGCAUAAUCCGACAGUUGUGACACAGGCACAUAUUUAGUAUUUAUGACCUCAUGGCAUGAAAUACUUGAAGAGGGAUAAUAACUGUCUCAAACUGUGAAGUUUUUAUGAGGAUUCCUAUUUGACUAACAUGUAAAAAGGAUAAAUUUAGACACCCGAACUCUGUUCUGAAAACUGGAACAGCUAUUUUCAACAGCACAAUAUGGUAAAUGACAACAACAACGAGUAUAGUGAGUUUUCUAGUGUUUAGAGCAUUACUUUUUAUAAGUAUUCCAGCAAGCCUGUAACGUAGACCAAAUGUACCCGCUCCAUAUUGAAAAAGAAGGGGUUGGAGAAGAGUGUCUUGUCCAUGGACACUUUGGGAGUUUGUGACAAAGGUGACAUUUGAACUGGAGACUUCCAGAAUCAUACCUCAGUCUCUUAGACACUGUACUAAUAGUGCUCAUCUUGUUGAGACUCAUCCUUUGCUACUUUAACUUAUCCUAUGCAGACUUGCUUGCUACUUUUACUUGGACUCUAAUUACAAAGCAAUUAUAAUUUAGUGCCUUCCCUUUUCUUCCGAUACAAAUAAACCAACAAAGUCCUCAAAGGCAAAUGCAAUAAAAUAGUAAAUUAUAGCUGGAGUUUACUAAACAAAUGCAACCUAGUUAAAUUUAGAAAAAUCUUCACUUUUGCUUACAUUUGCAAUUUUACUGCUGAACUACUGGUAUUUCUUACUUAUGCAAACAUUAAAAUGUAUAAGAAACUCUCUUGUGUACUAUAUAUGCAGCAACUACUCAUGAUUUAUAAUACCCAAUUUGGGGAGGGGGGA